UAGUCGAUUUUUGAAUAUUAUACGUGUCGGACAUUGCUGCGCCAGCGAACUAUAAAAGUCUACUCAAACAAACUUGAAUGUAUCAGCUCGAUCUCUCCUUAUUUCCUAAUGGACUGGACUAGGAUAUAUAUUUUUUUCCAUCUGACAGUGCUUACGAUAUGCAGGGCCGAGCACUCCCUUUGUCGAAUAUGGUCGAAGCGUGAAAGUGUCGUACGAGUUGGUGAAUAUUUAUUUUGCAGUUGCAAUAACGCUGAAAAGCCGACCGAAAUAAGAAUUAUUACAUAUCCCAUCGUUGACGAUAUAAAUAUAACUAUUGUUGAUAAUAAAACCAUCAAAA